rnacentral:tRNA from 1 species
UCCCUGGUGGAUCAAAUGGUAAAGCGUCUGUCUACAAUGCAGGAGACCCAGGUUCAAUUCCUGGGUUGGGAA